rnacentral:lncRNA from 1 species
UAAAGCAACUCUUAACUAGAAACUCAAACCACCACAGCCGCUAAAGUAAUCAGAAUCGCUGCAGACGCAACAACCAAACUCUCACCACCUCCAAGUCCAGAGGCAGCAGAUGGGGGUGCAUGCGGUGGCGGUGGCGGUGGUGGGAUAGAGGGCUUGGGGGGAGGAAAAUGAGGUGGAUGUGGCGGUGGGACGGUGGGUGAAAACGGAGGAAAUCCCGGUGAAGGUGGUGGCAAACCAGUUUUGUUGCAAUAGUUGUGGCCGUACCAAGUGUUGUCAGGGACGUUUUUGUUGAAAUCG